GCAGAGAGCAGACUUCCGGGAGCCACUGUCUUGUUCUGGCCAUCCGUCAUAUUCUGCGGCUUCUCAAUGCCUCCAUGUGUUAAAUUCGUUAACGAGGAAGUGAACGCAGCAGCUGCCAAACCAAAGAACUCUGUGAACUGGACUCUGGGUCUCCACUCUAGAAUCGCAGAAGGUGCAUUAUUACUUCUCAUGAAGUAAUUGACAGUGAUACAUCGAGGAGACCUCAUGGACUGCAGUUGACACCUGGCGGCUUCCUGCCAUCUGGAAAAACCUCAAUGUCCUCAGCUGGGCAGCUAAGGCCUUUUGGGAUGAGGCUGGAGAGUGAGUCAUCAGGCCACGAAGUCCCACAUGUCCCUUGAAUGACUGUUGUCAUCUCUGGCUUCUAAGCCUUUGCCUGGAUGGCCUGUUAUGUCACCCCAUCCUGCUGGAAGUCCCCAUUCAGCCCUCAGUUUUCCAGUGGAACCUUCUCUCAUCUUCCUGCUUCCCAUUCUUCAUCCCUAGGUCUUUCCUGCCUCUGCCAAAGCAAUGACCUGGUAACUCUUGCAUGUCUGGAAGAUACUCCAAAAAAUCACUAGAUUAGCAAAUAAAUUUCUCCUGUCAACUACCAAAAUUGUGAGGCUAUUAGGUUCUGUGCUUUCUCUAAGGACAUCAGGU
rnacentral:lncRNA from 1 species